UAGGGAAUCUUCGGCAAUGGACGAAAGUCUGACCGAGCAACGCCGCGUGAGUGAAGAAGGUUUUCGGAUCGUAAAACUCUGUUGUUAGAGAAGAACAAGGACGUUAGUAACUGAACGUCCCCUGACGGUAUCUAACCAGAAAGCCACGACUAACUACGUGCCAGCAGCCGCGGUAAUACGUAGGUGGCAAGCGUUGUCCGGAUUUAUUGGGCGUAAAGCGAGCGCAGGCGGUUUCUUAAGUCUGAUGUGAAAGCCCCCGGCUCAACCGGGGAGGGUCAUUGGAAACUGGGAGACUUGAGUGCAGAAGAGGAGAGUGGAAUUCCAUGUGUAGCGGUGAAAUGCGUAGAUAUAUGGAGGAACACCAGUGGCGAAGGCGGCUCUCUGUCUGUAACUGACGCUGAGGCUCGAAAGCGUGGGGAGCAAACAGG
rnacentral:rRNA from 1 species